rnacentral:rRNA from 1 species
UACAGGGGGGGCAAGCGUUGUUCGGAAUUACUGGGCGUAAAGGGUUCGUAGGUGGCUUACUAAGUCAAACGUGAAAUCCCUCAGCUUAACUGGGGAACUGCGUCUGAUACUGGAAAGCUUGAGUGCAGGAGAGGAACGCGGAAUUCCAGGUGUAGCGGUGAAAUGCGUAGAUAUUCGGAAGAACACCAGUGGCGAAGGCGACUUACUGGACACAUAUUGACGCUGAGGUGCGAAAGCGUGGGGAGCAAGCAGG